rnacentral:misc_RNA from 1 species
AAGUCGUAACAAGGUUUCCGUAGGUGAACCUGCGGAAGGAUCAUUAAUGAGGUUUAUCGGUCAGUGCUGGUGUUCGCAUGAACGCAUGUGCACGGUCGUCUUCCUUCUAUCAACCCCUGUGCACUUUAUUAAAUGAGGUGGGGAUUAGAUUGGUUGGGUGAGAAGCGCGUCGCGUGGGAUUAACGUAGUAGUUGUGGGUCCACCACGCGAAAGGUUAAUCUUGUAGUGACGCGUGGGACUACCUGUUCGCGCCGUCUUCUCUCUGCUUUAUUUUUAAUACAAACCACACAUAUUAGUCUUGUCGAAUGUUCAGUCCUACGGGACGCUAAAUCAUAAUACAACUUUCAACAACGGAUCUCUUGGCUCUC